UAAGGACAAAAGACCGUGGGCAUGGAUGGCCGAGUCUGGGGAUCAGCAUCGUAAUUUGUUGAGAAGGAGGCCAUGCUGUGCUGCCAGUUAUUAAUGGGUUUAAUCGGUUGAUACACAGCCCUACUGGCCUAACAAGUAGCUCAGGGCCCGGGAGGAGUUGCAGGUCCUGUCAGACUUUGAUUGCAGUUCCUUCCACUUGACAUAAGGAGACACUAUCAGCCUGAUUGGGAGGGUGAUGGUGGGAUGGAGCCUGCCGAGGUGGCGGCGCUGAGCUGACCACACCACCGGCCAGAGUGGGAGCCUUUCCUGCCCUCUUAACUGCAGCUAAUAUCAAAAGCACUGGUAUGGGCUGUCUAUCUGCGCUGGAACCUGAGUUUGUCUUUGUCUGCAAUUACUAUUCUUCUGGGUUUAUUUUGCCAGCUCAUUAUCCAGCCCCCUGGAAUCAGGCCUCCCAAAUUUAGCAGGUGCUGGGGAGGACCCUAGGGAGUGGCUUAUGUGGGGGCUAGCUGGUGAAACAGCCCUUUCCUUUCUGUUCUAUGAGUGUGAUGGUGUUUGAGAAAAUAUGGGGCUAUGGUUCAGGCGCACUUCACAUGUGCAAAGAUGGAGAAAGCACUCACCUACACGUUCGGGCUCAGAAUAUUGAUUGAAACAUUUUGAAUGAUCAAAAAUAAAAUGUUAUUUUUAAAGUUUC
rnacentral:sRNA from 1 species